rnacentral:rRNA from 1 species
GACGAACGCUGGCGGCGUGCUUAACACAUGCAAGUCGAACGGAAAGGCCCUGCUUGCAGGGUACUCGAGUGGCGAACGGGUGAGUAACACGUGGGUGAUCUGCCCUGCACUUCGGGAUAAGCUUGGGAAACUGGGUCUAAUACCGGAUAGGACCGCACUUUAGUGUGUGUGGUGGAAAGUUUUUUCGGUGUAGGAUGAGCUCGCGGCCUAUCAGCUUGUUGGUGGGGUAAUGGCCUACCAAGGCGGCGACGGGUAGCCGGCCUGAGAGGGUGUACGGCCACAUUGGGACUGAGAUACGGCCCAGACUCCUACGGGAGGCAGCAGGGGGGAAGAUUGAACAAGGGGCGCAAGCCUGAUGCAGCGACGCCGCGGGGGGGAUGAAGGCCUUCGGGUUGUAAACUCCUUUCGCUAGGGACGAAGCUUUUUGUGACGGUACCUAGAUAAGAAGCACCGGCUAACUACGUG